AUUGAACGCUGGCGGCAUGCUUUACACAUGCAAGUCGAACGGCAGCGCGGGCUUCGGCCUGGCGGCGAGUGGCGAACGGGUGAGUAAUACAUCGGAACGUGCCCAGUAGUGGGGGAUAGCUCGGCGAAAGCCGGAUUAAUACCGCAUACGACCUGAGGGUGAAAGCGGGGGAUCUUCGGACCUCGCGCUAUUGGAGCGGCCGAUGGCAGAUUAGCUAGUUGGUGGGGUAAAGGCCUACCAAGGCGACGAUCUGUAGCUGGUCUGAGAGGACGACCAGCCACACGGGGACUGAGACACGGCCCAGACUCCUACGGGAGGCAGCAGUGGGGAAUUUUGGGCAAUGGGCGAAAGCCUGAUCCAGCAAUGCCGCGUGUGUGAUGAAGGCCUUCGGGUUGUAAAGCACUUUUGGCGGGAACGAAAAGGACUGUGCCAAUACCACGGUUCGAUGACGGUACCCGCAGAAUAAGCACCGGCUAACUACGUG
rnacentral:rRNA from 1 species